rnacentral:misc_RNA from 1 species
GAAAUGCGAUAAGUAGUGUGAAUUGCAGAAUUCAGUGAAUCAUCAAAUCUUUGAACGCACAUUGCGCCCCUUGGUAUUCCAUGGGGCAUGCCUGUUCGAGCGUCAUUUGUACCCUCAAGCUCUGCUUGGUGUUGGGUGUUUGUCCCGUCUCCGCGCGUGGACUCGCCCCAAAGUGAUUGGCAGCCGGCGUACUGGUCCCGGAGCGCAGCACAUGUCGCGCAAACGAGUGCCUUGGUACGGCGGCGUCCAUAAGCCCCUCUCUCACGCUCUUGACCUCGGAUCAGGUAGGGAUACCCGCUGAACUUAAGC